AACUUCCUUUGCUGAGUUCUCUAAUGCAGAGAAGAUUGGCAUGGUUCCUGCGCAAGGAUGACAUGCAACUUCAUGAAGCAUUCCAUAUCUUU
rnacentral:snRNA from 1 species